rnacentral:rRNA from 1 species
GAGUUUGAUCCUGGCUCCAGGACGAACCGCUGGCGGCGUGCCUAAUCCAUGCAAGUAGAACGCUGAGAAAAGGAGCUUGCUUCUUUUGGAUGAGUUGCGAACGGGUGAGUAACGCGUAGGUACCUUGCCUUGUAGCGGGGGAUAACUAAUGGAAACGAUAGCUAAUACCGCAUAACAGCUUUUGACACAUGUUAGAAGCUUGAAAGAUGCAAUUGCAUCACUACGAGAUGGACCUGCGUUGUAUUAGCUAGUAGGUAGGGUAACGGCCUACCUAGGCGACGAUACAUAGCCGACCUGAGAGGGUGAUCGGCCACACUGGGACUGAGACACGGCCCAGACUCCUACGGGAGGCAGCAGUAGGGAAUCUUCGGCAAUGGGGGCAACCCUGACCGAGCAACGCCGCGUGAGUGAAGAAGGUUUUCGGAUCGUAAAGCUCUGUUGUAAGAGAAGAACGUGUGUGAGAGUGGAAAGUUCACACAGUGACGGUAACUUACCAGAAAGGGACGGCUAACUACGUGCCAGCAGCCGCGGUAAUACGUAGGUCCCGAGCGUUGUCCGGAUUUAUUGGGCGUAAAGCGAGCGCAGGCGGUUUAAUAAGUCUGAAGUUAAAGGCAGUGGCUUAACCAUUGUUCGCUUUGGAAACUGUUAAACUUGAGUGCAGAAGGGGAGAGUGGAAUUCCAUGUGUAGCGGUGAAAUGCGUAGAUAUAUGGAGGAACACCGGUGGCGAAAGCGGCUCUCUGGUCUGUAACUGACGCUGAGGCUCGAAAGCGUGGGGAGCAAACAGGAUUAGAUACCCUGGUAGUCCACGCCGUAAACGAUGAGUGCUAGGUGUUAGGCCCUUUCCGGGGCUUAGUGCCGCAGCUAACGCAUNAAGC